rnacentral:lncRNA from 1 species
CAUGAGCAAAAUGCUCAUACACAUAAGAUAAUUAAAUAAAUCAAAAAAUAACUAAAAAAAAAAAAGGAACAAAGAGAAAUUUGUUCCUCCUGCAGAAGCCAAGGUUAGACUUUGCUCAUCUUCAUCCAGGUCCAAAUGAUACCACGAGAUUUGUCUUGUGUCCAUCUCACUGCUCUACAAUCUUCUAUGAUGGCGAAAUUCUCAGAUUCCUCUUGUGCCCUGAUGACAUCACAGAACACGGUAUCACAAACUGCACCCUUCAAAUUACAAGUGUAUUUUGACCGAGACAUCUCUCCCUCCGUCCUGCCAUUUUCUUGUUCACUGUCCACGACUUGGUGUUUUCAGCUCGAGGUUGCACAUGCCACUCGAGAUUCAGGGAAGGUCCUUAGUGAUUAAAACCUUGUACAAUCAUCAGGGACAUAAGUAGAAGUAACUCGGUCCUCAGC